rnacentral:misc_RNA from 1 species
GAAAUGCGAUAAGUAGUGUGAAUUGCAGAAUUCAGUGAAUCAUCGAAUCUUUGAACGCACAUUGCGCCUCCUGGUAUUCCGGGAGGCAUGCCUGUUCGAGCGUCAUUAAAAUCAACUCAAGCUCUUUGGCUUGGUCAUGGAAGAAGAGUCUGCCCGGCAGUCUCCCCUCCGAAAUUCAAUGGCGGAAGGUCACUGGUACCCGGCGUAGUAAUAACGUUCGCUUUGUAUCCAGAGUCGUUCCUGCUGUACAACCCCCUUUCUCGUGAUUGACCUCGGAUCAGGUAGGGAUACCCGCUGAACUUAA